CACGGAGUUAGCCGAUCCUUAUUCCUUCGGUACAUUCAGCUAAAUACACGUAUCUAGGUUUAUUCCCGAAUAAAAGCAGUUUACAACCCAUAGGGCAGUCUUCCUGCACGCGGCAUGGCUGGUUCAGAGUUGCCUCCAUUGACCAAUAUUCCUUACUGCUGCCUCCCGUAGGAGUCUGGUCCGUGUCUCAGUACCAGUGGUGGGGGGCCAUCCUCUCAGACUCCCCUAGUCAUCGUCGCCUUGGUGGGCCGUUACCCCGCCAACUAGCUAAUGACACGCAUGCCCAUCUCCAUCCUAUAAAUAUUUGAUCAUUGUCCCAGGUGGGACUGUGAUUUUAUGCGGUUGUUAAUCCGGAUUUCGUCCGGGUCUACUCCCCCAGAUGGAAGGUAGGUUGCAUACGCGUUACGCACCCGUGCGCCGGUCUCGAAGGUUGCGAAGCCAACCGUCCUACCCCUCGACUUGCAUGUUAUUAGGCCUGCCGCUAGUCGUUCAUCC
rnacentral:rRNA from 1 species